rnacentral:rRNA from 1 species
UACAGAGGUCCCAAGCGUUGUUCGGAUUCAUUGGGCGUAAAGGGUGCGUAGGCGGCGCGGUAAGUCGGGUGUGAAAUCUCGGGGCUUAACUCCGAAACUGCAUUCGAUACUGCCGUGCUUGAGGACUGGAGAGGAGACUGGAAUUUACGGUGUAGCGGUGAAAUGCGUAGAUAUCGUAAGGAAGACCAGUGGCGAAGGCGGGUCUCUGGACAGUUCCUGACACUGAGGCACGAAGGCCAGGGGAGCAAACGGG